rnacentral:rRNA from 1 species
AUUUAAACCCUAGCGGGAUNCUUUACACCNUCAAAUCGAACGGCAGCGCGAGAGAGCUUGCUCUCUUGGCGGNGAGGGGCGGACGGGUGAGUAAUAUAUCGGAACGUGCCCAGUAGCGGGGGAUAACUACUCGAAAAGAGUGGCUAAUACCGCAUACGCCNUACGGGGGAAAGGGGGGGAUCGCAAGACCUCUCACUAUUGGAGCGGCCGAUAUCGGAUUAGCUAGUUGGUGGGGUAAAGGCUCACCAAGGCAACGAUCCGUAGCUGGUUUGAGAGGACGACCAGCCACACUGGGACUGAGACACGGCCCAGACUCCUACGGGAGGCAGCAGUGGGGAAUUUUGGACAAUGGGGGAAACCCUGAUCCAGCCAUCCCGCGUGUAUGAUGAAGGCCUUCGGGUUGUAAAGUACUUUUGGCAGAGAAGAAAAGGUAUCCCCUAAUACGGGAUACUGC